rnacentral:lncRNA from 10 species
UCCUGUUUAACUAUAUCUUCACUACAUUUGUCACUUUCAGAUUUUAAUGUUUGUAAUUUGAUGGCUAUAUCUAUUUGUUGUGUGCUUUCACCUAUCACUUACAUAAUGGAAAAGUUUUUACAAGACAAAACAACUUUUAAGAUAUUUACUGGAUGUGAAUAAUAAAAAGACGAUUCCACGAAGGUAUAAACAAACCCCGAAAAGUAGUAGAUACAUGUCCGUAUGUGUUAUAGAAUGCAUUUUUAAAAAGAAAUUUCCAUCUGUAUUUAUGAAAUGUUGGUUUCUGAGGGGCUGGUUACAUCUAUGGAAAGGAUCUUGGUCCCUUAAACUGUUCCCUGAAGACAUUCUGCAUUCUGGAAGGUAAAUCGAGUCCUGGACUUCAUCAGGCAGUGUGCAAGAAGCACCACCACCACAUGGCACUGAUGGAAGUGGCCCUCCAUGGCUCAAAUUGUGACCAUAGUUUGAAGACACUCAGAUUAAAAAAGUUAAAUGGAAGAAAGAGCAGAAACAGGGAAAUCAGCUUUGAUCAACUGUAUCCACAAUUGGCUUUUUCCUCCCUGUAAAUAUAAUAAUUUUAAUGAUACAGCAUUUAAAAUUAUGUAAUCUUUUAGGGAUCAUUAUUAAGACCAAAUACAGCUUUUCUGAGCUUAUCCCAAUGGGUAAGCCUGAAUAAGGGGUAGAAGGAGAUGGUCUUAAGAGAUGCUCUUCAAAAAUCUAAGAUUGUCCUUGUGUAUUUUCAUAGCAAUCUCUCCAUUAAAAGCAGAUAUCUAGAGAAUUGUCUUUUUUCCCCUUUUUGUAUAUUUAAAUUUCUAAUGCUUACAUGAUUAUCUGGGUGAUGAAUUUAAGGUCAUUUUUGUUUUAUUCAUUAUGCUUUUUGGUUUGUUGCGCUUUUCUAUACAGCAUAACUAACACCCAAUAUAUCU